rfam:Methanococcoides burtonii DSM 6242, complete genome.
UAUCCCUUCCAUUUGGGUUAAUCCUACUAUGACACGCGCCAAUGGUAACGUUGGGGUAUGAAGCUCAUAGGACAAUGUGGAGAAUCUCGAAAGUCUAAUUCGAAACAUCCA